rnacentral:rRNA from 1 species
CCUACGGGAGGCUGCAGUGGGGAAUAUUGCACAAUGGGGGAAACCCUGAUGCAGCGACGCCGCGUGAGUGAAGAAGUAUCUCGGUACGUAAAGCUCUAUCAGCAGGGAAGAAAAUGACGGUACCUGACUAAGAAGCCCCGGCUAACUACGUGCCAGCAGCCGCGGUAAUACGUAGGGGGCAAGCGUUAUCCGGAUUUACUGGGUGUAAAGGGAGCGUAGACGGCAGCACAAGUCUGGAGUGAAAUCCCGGGCCUUAACCCCGGAACUGCUUUGGAAACUGUGCGGCUGGAGUGCAGGAGGGGUAAGCGGAAUUGCUAGUGUAGCGGUGAAAUGCGUAGAUAUUAGAAGGAACACCAAUAGCGUAGGCAGGUUACUGGGACGGUUCUGACACUAAGGCACGAAAGCGUAGGGAGCAAACGGGAUUAGAUACCCCUGUAGUC